UACGUAGGUGGCAAGCGUUGUCCGGAUUUAUUGGGUUUAAAGGGUGCGUAGGUGGUCUAUUAAGUCAGUGCUGAAAUAUCCCGGCUUAACCGGGAGGGUGGCAUUGAUACUGAUGGACUUGAGUAAAGUUGAGGUGGGCGGAAUUGACGGUGUAGCGGUGAGAUGCUUAGAUAUCGUCAAGAACACCUAUUGCGAAGGCAGCUCACUAAGCUUUAACUGACACUGAUGCACGAAAGUGUGGGGAUCAAACAGG
rnacentral:rRNA from 1 species